CUUGAAGGCAAGGCUGCAAAUACUUGAAGAUUUGGGGGUUAUUCCUUUAAAAAAAAUCCCCAAAGUCUGCUACAGGUGGCAUCGCAGCGAAGGGGAAGCACACUAUGGGGGAAGA
rnacentral:lncRNA from 1 species